rnacentral:tRNA from 1 species
ACUUAAUUAAAAGUUAUAAUUUAUAAAAAUAAAGCAUCCAGAAGUUUAUAUAAUAAUUAUACCUGGAUUCG